GUGCUUGCUUCGGCAGUACAUAUACUAAAAGUGGAAUGAGACGAAGAAGAUUAGCUGGCGACUGCAUAAGGAUGACACACAAAUCUAUGAAGCAUUCCGUAUCUUU